rnacentral:rRNA from 1 species
UCGGAAUUAUUGGGCGUAAAGGGUGCGUAGGCGGUUUGGUAAGUCUUAUGUGAAAUCUAUGGGCUCAACUCAUAGACUGCAUGAGAAACUGCCGGGCUUGAGUAUGGGAGAGGUGAGUGGAAUUCCUGGUGUAGCGGUGAAAUGCGUAGAUAUCAGGAGGAACACCUGUGGCGAAAGCGGCUCACUGGACCAUAACUGACGCUGAUGCACGAAAGCUAGGGGAGCAAACAGG